UCCUCUUGGAAUUUAAAAUUAUUAAAAAAUGUUUGCACUUUUGUUGAGUGUCUCUUCCAAUUAUGCAGAUUGACAAUUAUGGUGUUUCAGAGGAGAGAUGUUCCCCAAGAGGCUCAGGGUUUCUGGGGUUACAGUAGAAGCAGGAAUACUGAGCAGAAGAAAGCUGCUUUCAGUGUGCUGUGAAUGCUAGUAAGAAACAACACUUGCUCCAAAGGGAAAUGCUCUUCCGUAGAUCUCCCAACUGAGCACCCUGGACAGUAACUCAUUCCCACAGUAACAGCAGCCACUGGCUCCUGCCUGGUGGCAGAACCUCCAUGACAUCACCACAGGCUGAAAGUCUCACUCCAUCCUGUUUCAGCAGCAGAGAGAAGAAGCAAUUCACAUUAAUGAAUUUUAGAGAUUAUUCUGCAUUGACAUGAAUAUUUCCUACAAUAUUUAUGUCAAGGGCCAUACAACUCUCCAUUGGCUAUCAAUAAAUGGGACUACUUCAUUGUGAACAAUAAAUU